rnacentral:rRNA from 1 species
ACGUAGGGUGCGAGCGUUAAUCGGAAUUACUGGGCGUAAAGCGUGCGCAGGCGGUUUUGUAAGCCAGAUGUGAAAUCCCCGGGCUUAACCUGGGAAUGGCAUUUGGGACUGCAAGGCUGGAGUGCGGCAGAGGAGACUGGAAUUCCUGGUGUAGCAGUGAAAUGCGUAGAGAUCGGGAGGAACAUCAGUGGCGAAGGCGGCCAUCUGGGACAACACUGACGCUGAAGCACGAAAGCGUGGGGAGCAAACAGGA